rnacentral:rRNA from 1 species
UAGCGGAACUGCCAGCGUAAGCUGCGAGGAAGGUGGGGAUGACGUCAAGUCAUCAUGGCCCUUACGGCCUGGGCUACACACGUGCUACAAUGGUCGGUACAAAGGGUUGCCAAGCCGCGAGGUGGAGCUAAUCCCAUAAAACCGAUCGUAGUCCGGAUCGCAGUCUGCAACUCGACUGCGUGAAGUCGGAAUCGCUAGUAAUCGUGAAUCAGAAUGUCACGGUGAAUACGUUCCCGGGCCUU